CAGUCGCCGCGGGAAUACGAGGGGGGCAAGCGUUGUUCGGAAUUAUUGGGCGUAAAGGGUGCGUAGGCGGCUUGACAAGUCUUGUGUGAAAUCUAUGGGCUCAACCCAUAGUCUGCACGGGAAACUGUCGGGCUUGAGAAUGGGAGGGGUGAGUGGAAUUUCCGGUGUAGUGGUGAAAUGCGUAGAUAUCGGAAGGAACACCUGUGGCGAAAGCGGCUCACUGGACCAUUUCUGACGCUGAUGCACGAAAGCUAGGGGAGCAAACAGGAUUAGAUACCCCCGUAGUCCCUGUCUCUUAUAC
rnacentral:rRNA from 1 species